rnacentral:tRNA from 1 species
CAAGACAUAGCUUAAAUUUUAAAGCACCCAGCUUACACCUGAAAAACGCCUAAUGACAAGGCUGUCUUGA